rnacentral:rRNA from 1 species
UUUUAAGUAAAUUCUGCUCAAUGAAAAUAUUAAAUAGCUGCAGUUAAUUUUCUGUACUAAGGUAGCGUAAUAAUUUGUUUUUUAAUUUGAAACUCGAAUGAAUGGAAAAAUGAAAAAUUAACUAUUUUAAACGUAUAAAAGUACAAAUUAAUGGUUAAGUUAAAAAUCUUAAAUAAAAUAAAAAGACAAGAAGACCCUUUAGAACUUUAUAAACGUUCAAGUAAAUUAAACUAACAACAUUUAUUAAAUUGGGGAGAUUAAAAAAUUUAAACAACUUUUUUUUAAGGAACUCACUCAAUAGGUGAAUUUUAGUAUAUUAUCCAUAAAAAUGAAAUAAAACAAAGUUACCUAAGGGAUAACAGCGUAAAAAUUUUAGAAAGAUCAAAUUUAUAAAAUAAAUUACGACCUCGAUGUUGGAUUAAGAA